AAAAACUUAGGUUAAUACAAACCAGGGGCCUUCAAAGCCCCAAAUAUGGGACCACCUCCCCUUAGUUUUUG
rnacentral:tRNA from 1 species